AACCUCAAAUAACUGGUCAUUCUGAAUUCUGAAAGAGCACAGCACUCUGUGUCUACUUCUAUUAUAAGAUUCAUAUUUGACCAUAAUUAUUUAUUUCAGUAUGUCUCUCCAGUACCAGACUUUGAGUUCCCUGGAACUAAAAACAUUGCUUGGACCUCACACUGUACCUGCAUACCUAAGAGGAAACAAAUUUUACCAGCUGCUGUUGGAUGCAAAAGAUCUUUUUCGUUCUUGGAUGCUUUAUAUUUGGACAGAGAAAGAAUCAGAAUCCAUCCUGCUUUCUCCUAACUGGAAUUUGAGAGGCACGAGAAGGGAGCUAAACACACAGACUUUAAUAUCUGGUGGAAAGAGAUAAGGUGUCUCAAUGAAGGUUAGCAUCAUCAAGAGCUACUACUCCUGACGUUUUCAUUUUACUUUCCUCGGAUCUGCCUAAACUCAGUGUCUCUCCUAGAAAACCAGUCAACUCAUGAAAAACUGUUUGUAAGGAAACAUUCUCGACACAAAUAAAAAUAAAGGUUUGAGAUGAUAAAUAUGCU